rnacentral:rRNA from 1 species
CCUACGGGUGGCUGCAGUGGGGAAUAUUGGACAAUGGGCGAAAGCCUGAUCCAGCCAUGCCGCGUGUGUGAAGAAGGUCUUCGGAUUGUAAAGCACUUUAAGUUGGGAGGAAGGGCAGUAAGCUAAUACCUUGCUGUUUUGACGUUACCGACAGAAUAAGCACCGGCUAACUCUGUGCCAGCAGCCGCGGUAAUACAGAGGGUGCAAGCGUUAAUCGGAAUUACUGGGCGUAAAGCGCGCGUAGGUGGUUUGUUAAGUUGGAUGUGAAAGCCCCGGGCUCAACCUGGGAACUGCAUCCAAAACUGGCAAGCUAGAGUACGGUAGAGGGUGGUGGAAUUUCCUGUGUAGCGGUGAAAUGCGUAGAUAUAGGAAGGAACACCAGUGGCGAAGGCGACCACCUGGACUGAUACUGACACUGAGGUGCGAAAGCGUGGGGAGCAAACAGGAUUAGAUACCCCAGUAGUC